GAUGAACGCUGACAGAAUGCUUAACACAUGCAAGUCAACUGUGGCGGACGGGUGAGUAACGCGUAAAGAACUUUCCUCACAGCUAGGGACACCAUUUGGAAACGAAUGCUAAUACCUGAUACUGUGAGAGAGCUUUGCGUCCCAUUAGAGAGUUGGAGAGGUAACGGCUCACCAAGGCGAUGAUGGGUAGCCGGCCUGAGAGGGUGAUCGGGCACAAGGGGAAUGGGACACGGCCCUUACUCCUACGUGAGGCAGGAGUGGGGAAUAGUGGACAAUGGACCAAAGUGUGAUCCAGCAAUUCUGUGGGCACGAUGAAGUUUUCGGAAUGAAAAGUUGUUUAAGUUGGGAAGCGGUACCAACAGAAGAAGUGACGGCUAAAUACGUGCCAGCAGCCGCGGUAAUUC
rnacentral:rRNA from 1 species